rnacentral:tRNA from 1 species
GCCGGCGUGCCGUGCGUCGGCGAGCUGGCGCUGUUCGCCGCGGCGCUGCGCGAGCUCGAGGCGCGCGGCGGCGAACGCGCCGUCGUGCUGGCC